CCUACGGGUGGCAGCAGUGAGGAAUAUUGGUCAAUGGACGGAAGUCUGAACCAGCCAAGUCGCGUGCAGGAUGACUGCUCUAUGAGUUGUAAACUUCUUUUGUAAUAGGGUAAAACGCCCCACGUGUAGGUGCUUGAAAGUACAAUAUGAAUAAGGAUCGGCUAACUCCGUGCCAGCAGCCGCGGUAAUACGGAGGAUCCAAGCGUUAUCCGGAUUUAUUGGGUUUAAAGGGUGCGUAGGCGGUUUGAUAAGUUAGUGGUGAAAUACCGGUGCUCAACCCCGGAACUGCCUCUAAUACUGUUGAACUAGAGAGUAGUUGCGGUAGGCGGAAUGUAUGGUGUAGCGGUGAAAUGCUUAGAGAUCAUACAGAACACCGAUUGCGAAGGCAGCUUACCAAACUAUAUCUGACGUUGAGGCACGAAAGCGUGGGUAGCAAACAGGAUUAGAUACCCUAGUAGUC
rnacentral:rRNA from 1 species